AGAGCGAACGCUGGCGGCAGGCUUAACACAUGCAAGUCGAACGGGUAUCUUCGGAUACUAGUGGCAGACGGGUGAGUAACACGUGGGAACGUACCUUUCGGUUCGGAAUAAUACAGGGAAACUUGUACUAAUACCGGAUAAGCCCCUUCGGGGGAAAGAUUUAUCGCCGAUAGAUCGGCCCGCGUCUGAUUAGCUAGUUGGUGAGGUAAUGGCUCACCAAGGCGACGAUCAGUAGCUGGUCUGGGAGGAUGAUCAGCCACACUGGGACUGAGACACGGCCCAGACUCCUACGGGAGGCAGCAGUGGGGAAUAUGGACAAUGGGACGAAAGCCUGAUCCAGCCAUGCCGCGUGUGUGAUGAAGGCCUUAGGGUUGUAAAGUCAGUUUUGGUCCGGGAAGAUAAGUGACUGUACCGGAAGAAUAACGCCCCGAUAACCUUCGACG
rnacentral:rRNA from 1 species